GACGAACGCUGGCGGCGUGCCUAAUACAUGCAAGUCGAACGCAGUGGGGACGGGUGAGUAACACGUGGGUAACCUCCCAUCAGAGGGGAUAACACUUGGAAACAGGUGCUAAACCGAUACUGAUGGAGGGACCCGCGGUGCAUUAGCUAGUUGGGGAGGUAACGGCUCACCAAAGCCACGAUGCAUAGCCGGCCUGAGAGAAUGAUCGGCAACACGGAGACUGAGACAAGGGCCAAGCUCCUGAAGAAGGCAGCAGUAAGGAAUCGUCGGCAAUAGAAGAGAGUCUGUCCGAGCAACGCCACGUGAAUGAAGAAGGUAAUGGGGUCGUGAAACUCUGUUGUUAGGGAAAGGGUAUCUAACCAAAAAGCCACGGCGAACUACAUGCCAGCCGCCGCGGUAAUAC
rnacentral:rRNA from 1 species